AGCAGGAAUCCAGAAGCUCCGUGUCUCCUCCUACUGAUUCUCCACCCACUCGGCCCCCACGCGGCUCAUGGGCUCAUGACUCCCCAGAUGUCUCUGUGUCAUUCGGGGUUGAGCCCAAGCUCUGCCCCCUGUGGUGAUUGUCUUGGAUAAAGUCGUCUUCGCCAUUUGAAUGAGUGUCGUGGGAUCAUGCUUUCCUCGACGGUGGGAUCUUGACCUGGCAAAGCGUGAGGGCGGUACAAGGGUCGGCAGCGAGGGGGCUCCUGGGCCAUCUCCCACUACAGGGAGUUCUUCUCCUCUUUCUCCUUCCCUCGGAGCUGGACGGCCGUCAGCAUCCUCUCCGUAUCCUGCCCCUCGGCCGUGUCCCCACCUCAAUUCCUGCGUGGCCACCCUGUCAUGAUGUCUGCUCCUUGGAAGCUCCAGACUCACACAGGAAGUUUGUCCCAGGUGGACGGGAAGACUCCAUUUCCCAGACUCUCCUGCAGUUGAUGGGAGCCGGGCGCUGAGUCCUGUCCCAUGGAACGUGGUGGACACAACAUAGGUCAUAAAGUCCCCUGCACUAUCCUCCACCUGUCUCUUCCCGUUCCGUGGUGACAUUGGAAGCCAUGUUGAAGAUGACAGUGCCCCAAGAAGGAAGGGGCCUUGACCCCUGAAAGACUGGAGCCCGACUUGGAUGGCAAUGUGCGUGCAGAAAUAAGCAUUCGUUGUGCCGAUCGACUGACAUUGGGAUCAUUUGUUAGAGCAGCUAACCUUCUCUAGACAGACUCGUGGACGUGCAGAGUUUUCUGGUGUAUUAUCUCGGACUCUGAGCAGAGCCCUGGGAGUCUGGCAGGGCCAGUACUGUUCUCUCUGGUUCUCUGGUUGUUUUGUUUUGUUUUGUAGAUUCCAGGUUGAGAGCUCUUAACCUCCGCCCCAUCUUGCCUCUCCAAACACCUCGGAGGCACUCGUCCCAUUUGACAGCUGGGGGAAAAUGAGGCUCAGAGGGGAGAGGUGAUUUGUGUGUGGCCAAGAGCUAUUGGAGCAGAGCUUUCUCUUUGCCAGAUGCUCCUCUUCUAAAACUACAUGCUUGUAGGUGCCCAAUUCACCUGCUUACCCAGAAAAGGGAGAAGAACAUACGUCUGUCUCUGUGUGUCUGGGCUUUGAAUACCAAAAGCCAAUGUGUUGAAUAGUUGCCUGGGAAAAAAGAGUCCCCGCUCUCAAGGCAGCUCAAGAUCCACUCUUUGAUUUCAGACCAUUUGGGGCUGUAGUGAUAUUUGGCAAUUCCAGCUCCGUGUUGGCCCCAUGAUCCCAGACAGAAUCAGAUCACUCCCAAGCCCCUCAUAGGAUGACUGCCUUUUCUCUCCUCAAUCUUGGCUGCAUAGAAGAACCACCCAGAAAUCUGUAAAAAACACUAAUGUUAGCCCACCCCAAACCACUCUAAAUCAGAUAUCUGAGGGUAGGGUAGGGACUAAUACUGUUUUUUUGUUUUUAUGUUUUUUUUUUAGGAGCCCUCCCAGAAUAGUCUAGUGGAUAGUUAAGUCCUCCUACCUGGACCUCAUGGACUGCCCUGUCUAAUGAGAAUUACUGUCUUGGGUGAUAUGCUUCGAGUUCUGGACAAUUGACCUAUUAGUCAUGGAAAGAGUCAAGGGCUCAGAUGCUCAGAGUCCACAGAGGACAAUCAUCCCUGUGUGUAGGAUGAAGGUCACAGGGUCAGAAUGGCUUCUCCCUGGCUGUCACCAUGGUGGGAAGAGAUACAAAGAGUAUAAUUGGAGAAAGCUGAUUUUUAUUGUGGCUGUUUCUUAGCAUAUUUUGCAAUAGGGGUGGCAUUUGUUCAGAAAUGUGACCCUGGGACCCAGUAGACACCAGUGUUGUAGCUCUCCUGGGGUCCAGCCUUGACAUGAAUAAAAUCUUCUAAGACGA